GAUACAUUUUCUAGCUGGCUCUCACUAUAAAUAAAUGUGAAGGCUAUUUGACAAUCUAUGCUGAGAAUCAUUUCUAUAAUGGCGCAAUCUGUUGUAGGAUUCGGACUUGUUCCCCAAAUCAAGGGUCUAAGCGGUGGCGUGGAUCGAAGAUAGGUGGCAAAGAAAAGGGUACAAACCCAUUCAUGUCCUCCACAGUGGACGAUGGCCGCCUUCACUGAAAUGUGCAAAUCAGAAUCAACUGCAACAAGGUAGGCGAACUCCUUGGCGAGAAGAAGAUCAGCGGCCAGAUGCACUAGAAGAGAAAGGGAACGCUCAAGCAAGUUAUAAAGCACCCCUUCCUGAUGAAGGCUAUCCUCUGCAACAUCCUGGUGGGUACCCUCCCUACACUUACAGCCAGCCUGGUUCCCCUCCCUACAAACAGAGUGGUUACCCUUACUCUGCUUACCCUCCGCAACAGCCUGGUGGGCAUCCUCUGCAACAGACUGGUGGGUAUCCUCCGCAACAACCUGGUGGGUAUCCUCCCUACAGCCAGGAUGGUUAUCCUUCCCCUGGUUACUCUGCCUAUCCCCAGCAGUAUCCUCCGCAGCAGCUUUACCCUAAUGUGGGCUAUCCACAGUAUCAGUAUCAGUAUCCUGCACAACAGCCUUAUCCUAAUUUAGGCUAUCCACAGUAUCAGUAUCCUCCGCAGCAGCCCUACCCGCCUUCUCCUCGGCAGUGAAAGUGGCCAACCAUUGCAGAUGUGGCGGCUUUAGCAGGCCUCGCAGCGAAGUAGAGAAUCGCCAAUGGCAUCACUGACAUGGUCUAGUAGGAAUGGUUUAAAUCACACAUAUUAAGUUUAUGUUUUUAGGUUUAUAAGUAUUAAAUAUUUGGAGUUGAUUGACAUUUUCUAGGUUUAAUAUGUGGCUUAAUGUGUGUGGUCCCAUUAAGAAUAUACUUUUAUGCUUAAAAGUGUUAAACACUUAGAGUUGAGUGACAUUUUCUAGGCUUAAUAUGUGGCUUAAUGUGUGUGGUCGCAUUAAGAAUAUACUUUUAGGUUUAAAAGUGUUAAA